AUUGAACGCUGGCGGCAGGCCUAACACAUGCAAGUCGAGCGAGCGGCGGACGGGUGAGUAAUGUAUGGGGAACGCACGAUAGAGGGGGAUAACUAAUGGAAACGGUGGCUAAUACCGAAUACUAUCGGAUAACACAUAUGGGAAUAGCGCGUAGGUGGGGUAAAGGCUCAUGUAGGCGACGAUCUCUAGCUGGUCUGAGAGGAUGAUCAGCCACACAUGGACUGAGACACGGCCCAGACUCCUAAGGAGGCAGCAGUGGGGAAUAUUGCACAAUGGGCGCAAGCCUUAUGCAGCCAUGCCGCGUGUAUAAAGAGGGCCUUAGGGUUGUAAAGUACUUUCAGCGGGGAAGCGUUACCCGCAGAAGAAGCACCGGCUAACUCCGUGCCAGCAGCCGCGGUAAUAC
rnacentral:rRNA from 1 species